rnacentral:lncRNA from 1 species
GCUGCUGUCUCAUUAGCUGUAUCGUCUACUCCAUCUAUGCCAUCCACUCUAUCAUCUAGAUCUGGAGCUGCUGAUACUCAUCGAUGCAUGCAGUCAACUCCUGAGCUCGCUGCUCAGCCUGCUGUCGAUCCUCGACAGCCUGUCUCUACACAUUCAUCAGCUAAGCCUUGCACGUAGAAUGGAUGUCAGUCCUAGAUGAGCAUAAGGAUGAGGAAGUAGUGAUCCCAUAUCCUAGACCCCUAACAUAAUAGGGUCUCAUACCAAGCACCCGAUCACAGAUCUCAUCAUCUGUGGGUGCAA